UACAUGGGGGUGCAAACGUUGCUCGGAAUUAUUGGGCGUAAAGCGCACGUAGGCGGUUCGUUAAGUCGGAUGUGAAAGCCCUCGGCUCAACUGAGGAAGUGCACCCGAAACUGGCGAGCUUGAGUACGAAAAGAGGAUCGCGGAAUUCCCCGGUGUAGAGGUGAAAUUCGUAGAUAUCGGGGAGGAACACCGGUGGCGAAGGCGGCGAUCUGGGGUCGAUACUGACGCUGAGGUGCGAAAGCGUGGGGGAGCAAACAGG
rnacentral:rRNA from 1 species